AAUGGAAGGAGAUGAGAGGGACAACAAGAAGACAUGAGGCUACUAUACCAGGGGUGGUGUCUCGUCAUGUGUGUCUUCAGUACUCUUGGGGAGUGGGAUGCGGAAGGAAUUCUAGGGUGCGUUUGGUUGGAGAGCAAGGUAGGAUGGAAUGGUUCCAUUCUACUUGCUCCAUCAUUGUCGCAUUGCUUGUGUUGCUCUUCUCCAUCAGCAUGACGAAGGGCGUCAAUAGAGAGUACCAGUUUGAUGUGCAAAUGACAUACUUAACGUGGCUGUGCAGCAGCAAGAGCGUCGUGAUGGUGAACGGGCAGUUCCAGGGGCCGACAGUGUUUGCUAGAGAGGUGCAGUGAUCAUAGUGGCAGCUCCACGAAACCGCUAUAACGCAGCUCCACAAAACCGCUAUAAUGCCGCUAUAGCACCGCUAUUUAAAACGCUGAUUUCUAUGUUUGGUUUGACCUCUGUUAGCCACCGUUUUGUGGGGACUGUCUAUCAGUCAAUCAAGACCCUCAUUUGUCUUCCCC